GUUCAGGGGUAAACCUGAGAAACCCAAAAGAUCGAAUGGGGAGAUUCAUCGUCAGCGAUUUCGGCAAGUGUGCGGUUCGCGAUGCCCGAGAUUUCGGUCUCCAGGCACGCGUCCGCAUGUUUUUCAUUGCCUUAAACGUCGGCGUGCACUUCUCCCCUAGUAGGACGUCGCGACCCGUUGGGUGUCGGUCUACGGCCUGGGCGGUAGCCUGUCUCGUGUACGCUUCGCGGCGUUACGCGGUUCAGACCCCCGGUUGCCUGACCGGCUGCUCGGCGGUACGCGCACGGUAUCUGGCCGCAAAUAUUCGAACUGCGUCCGGCCCGUCGCAAGCGAGGCAAGUGUUCCCGGCUGUACGGAUCUAAUGCCGUCACCGGGCCUUGCCAGCUGUUGGUUGACGGUGUCCUAGGACAGGCCAAUCUAAUUAUGAUACCGGUCGGCGACGCUACUGCUUUGGGUACUUUCAGGACCCGUCUUGAAACACGGACCAAGGAGUCUAACAUGUGCGCGAGUCAUUGGGUAUUAUUAAGCCUAAAGGCGCAAUGAAAGUGAAGGUCGGCCUUGCGCCGACCGAGGGAGGAUGGGCCGCGUUACGAUGCGGUCCCGCACUCCCGGGGCGUCUCGUUCUCAUUGCGAGAAGAGGCGCACCCAGAGCGUACACGUUGGGACCCGAAAGAUGGUGAACUAUGCCUGGUCAGGACGAAGUCAGGGGAAACCCUGAUGGAGGUCCGUAGCGAUUCUGACGUGCAAAUCGAUCGUCGGAACUGGGUAUAGGGGCGAAA
rnacentral:rRNA from 1 species